rnacentral:lncRNA from 1 species
GGGCGGGAAGCGCUCCUCCUCGUAACCUUAACGGGGGGCAGCGCAAAAAGAAAAUAAAACCCAUCUCCAACAAAAACAAACCCCCAACAAACAACCAAAACCAAAAACCCCAGACGGUGAGCUACCGCUUCAGUCAACGCGGGCCCAUGGCCGACUACGUAAGCUUUGAGCAAAGCACGCUGCGUUGAGAAGUCUGCUGCCAUCUCUGCUUUGGAAACGGCCGUGCUCCCUGUGGAGAUGGAAUUUACAGCCAAGUCUAAAAGGUUCCAGCUUUUCAAGAACUGACUGUAUGGAAUGAUC